AGAGUUUGAUCCUGGCUCAGAAUGAACGUUGGCGGCGUGGAUUAGGCAUGCAAGUCGAACGAGUCUCUGGGGGGUAACUCCUAGAGGAAAGUGGCGAAAGGGGCAGUAAUGUAUGGGUAACCUACCUUGAGGUCUGGGAUAGCUAUUCUAACGGAUAGGUAAUACUGGACGGCCUAAGUUGUCGGCAUCGACGAUUUAGUAAAGGUUACGCCUCGAGAGGGGCCCAUAUGAUAUUAGCUAGUUGGUGGGGUAAUGGCCCACCAAGGCAAAGAUGUCUAGCGGGUGUGAGAGCACGACCCGCGUCAUUGGCACUGAGACACUGGCCAAACUCCUACGGGAGGCUGCAGUCGAGGAUCUUCGGCAAUGGACGAAAGUCUGACCGAGCAACGCCGCGUGUGCGAUGAAGGCCUUCGGGUUGUAAAGCACUGUCGAGGGGAAACAAGCCGUAAGGUUGAGUGACCCCUGGAGGAAGCACGGGCUAAGUUCGUGCCAGCAGCCGCGGUAAGACGAACCAUGCAAACGUUAUUCGGAAUCACUGGGCUUAAAGGGCGCGUAGGCGGGUGAUCAAGUCAAUGGUGAAAUCCUCCAGCUUAACUGGAGAAGUGCCUUUGAUACUGAUUGUCUAGAGGGAGGUAGGGGCAUGUGGAACUUCAGGUGGAGCGGUGAAAUGCGUAGAUAUCUGAAGGAACGCCAGUGGCGAAAGCGAUGUGCUGGACCUCUUCUGACGCUGAGGCGCGAAAGCUAGGGGAUCAAACGGGAUUAGAUACCCUGGUAGUCC
rnacentral:rRNA from 1 species